rnacentral:rRNA from 1 species
GUGAGGAAUUUUCCGCAAUGGGCGAAAGCCUGACGGAGCAAUGCCACGUGAAGGAUGAAGGCCUAUGGGUUGUAAACUUCUUUUCUCAGAAAAGAAUUAUGACGGUAUCUGAGGAAUAAGCAUCGGCUAACUCUGUGCCAGCAGCCGCGGUAAGACAGAGGAUGCAAGCGUUAUCCGGAAUGAUUGGGCGUAAAGCGUCUGUAGGUUGUUUAAAAAGUAUUCUGUCAAAGAUUAGGGCUUAACCCUAGAUAGGCAGAAUAAACUUUUAAGCUAGAGUUUGGUAGAGGCAGAGGGAAUUCCCGGUGGAGCGGUGAAAUGCGUAGAUAUCGGGAGGAACACCAAAGGCGAAGGCACUCUGCUGGGCCAAUACUAACACUGAGAGACGAAAGCGAGGGGAGCAAAUGGGAUUAGAAACCCCUGUAGUCC